AUUGAACGCUGGCGGCAUGCCUUACACAUGCAAGUCGAACGGCAGCACGGGAGCAAUCCUGGUGGCGAGUGGCGAACGGGUGAGUAAAGUAUCGGAACGUGCCCAGUCGUGGGGGAUAACGUAGCGAAAGUUACGCUAAUACCGCAUACGAUCUAUGGAUGAAAGCGGGGGAUCGCAAGACCUCGCGCGAUUGGAGCGGCCGAUAUCAGAUUAGGUAGUUGGUGGGGUAAAGGCUCACCAAGCCGACGAUCUGUAGCUGGUCUGAGAGGACGACCAGCCACACUGGGACUGAGACACGGCCCAGACUCCUACGGGAGGCAGCAGUGGGGAAUUUUGGACAAUGGGCGAAAGCCUGAUCCAGCCAUGCCGCGUGCAGGAUGAAGGCCUUCGGGUUGUAAACUGCUUUUGUACGGAACGAAAAGGUUUGGGCUAAUAAGCUGAGCUCAUGACGGUACCGUAAGAAUAAGCACCGGCUAACUACGUGCCAGCAGCCGCGGUAA
rnacentral:rRNA from 1 species